UGGUGCCCGCACCUUCUACUGCUUCGUGUGGCCGGCCGGCACACCGGUGCACAUCAAAGUCGGCUUCGCUCAGCAAGGCCUCUUACUCUCCCUUUCUUUACUCCUUUACCGGCCUGCACGUGUGCGUCGCACAGCCGUAGCCAUGGACACGGCACUGCCCAUGCUGCAGGGACCAUCUCCCGCCUCGCCACGAAAAAACAUGUCAGACUCCGCCCCUGGCGCCGCAUCUGCCAGUCCCGCGCCUGCGCAGCGAGUGGCGGGUGGCGGCACACUCCACGAGCGGCUUGUCGCGCGGCACCGUGACGCCAUUGAGGCUUUCCGCGCUAGCGCCCGGUCGUUUAACGGUGACGUCGACGCAGCGCAACAGCAGCGUGUAGUGCUGCUGCACAACGUGUUGGCGGAGAGCCACGCUAGCACUCUGUCGAUGAUAACCCAAGAGCAGCAGCGACUCUCUGAGCAGCAGGCAGAGGCCCAGGUGCACAACGAAGCGCUCCGGGAUGCUGACCCGGAUGCAGUGCUGCCGGUGUGCACCGACAUGUACCACUGCUCCACCGCCGACGAUCAGGGCCGGGCACGGGCCAUGACUCUCAUGAAGCAAGAUCGGCUGCGCCUCGUGCAACUCCUCGUCGAGGUGCGAGAUCAUUACCGCAGCCGCGUGGCAGCGAUCGACACGUGCUUCGCGGACAUCGCCAGUGCGGAGGAGGCACGCUGCAAACAAAUCCAGGCGGCGGUGCAAGAGCUGAUGGCCAGGCUUACCCGCAUCGCCGUCACCAGCACAACCGAGUCACAGGUACUUGCGCAGCGCAUCCUCCACCACACCAAUGAGCAGCUCGGCGGGAACUACUUGGGCAUGCAGACGAUGGCGACACAGCUUCGGCAGCGGGAACUGUACAAGCACCAGCAAUACCAGCGCACGCUCAUCGCGGUCUACCGGGACACGCAAGUGCACAUGGCUCAGCAGCACGUGACGUGGUGCAUCACAGUGCUGCGCUCGGCGCUGUUCCACCGCCCGGAGGGGCGGCUGCAGUCUGUGAAGGCAGCAGAGCAGCUGAUCGGAGCUAUCCGCAGCGAGGCUGUGGGGCUCGCUCGCGGGCUGACGGAGGUGGUGGACUCCCUCGAGGUUGCGCAACCGUCUGCGAGCACCGCGGAGCUUCAGGUUUGCGGCGGCAGUGGCGCCAACGGCUGGCUGCGCUCCUUCGAACCGAAUGUGCAUCUGCCCGUCUUCGUCGACGAGGACCCGCAUGCGGUGCUGGAAGAGUGGCAUAUGCGCGUCAGCAUUCUCCUGCGGCACUGCGGCGCACGGUGUAACGAGCUGAUGGCCCGCGUGAGAGCCGACGAAGCUGCGCGCACAAGCGUGGCGGCCGCCCUUGCAGAGCAGACCCUCAGCGAUCUCGAAGCGAUUGCGCAUCCGCUCAGCGAAGAGUCGUCGCUGCUGCAGCGUGCGUCUCUCGCGCACAGCGGCACUGACAAGGAUGGGCAGGAUGUGUCACCCGAAGAGGCUGCUGACUUGCUCGAUGACGCACUCCACUCCCUCACCGAUGCCCAUUCCGGGGUUCUCGCCAUAAAACAGUCCAUAGUGCGGUCCGCCGCGUGGGCGUUCUGCGUGCCCACCAUCGAGAAGGAAGGGCAGUGGUUUGUGCACCUUGUGUCGCACGGCUUUCGGCGCGGCUACGCCCAGUUCUGUGCUGAUGCUGUCAAAUCCACUGGUAGCAUGCUAGUGAGCCUUGAAGGGGCCACCGACAUCCUCGUCACCUCUACCCGUGGCCUCCUCGGCUUCCUGCGCGGGCUCUACGCGCAGUGGCAAGAAAAGGAGAUGGACUACCGCGACGAGGUGGCCCGGCUGGAGCUGCAGCUGCGUGUGUUGGAGGAGGCGCUGCGGCAACAGGAGACGCCAGCGGCCGCGGAGGCGCGGUACACAGCGGGGCUCACGUGCCUGCAGUCGAUCGCCGACGCCCACACUCGCUACUACGAAGCCGUUCGCAGCCGUGUUGCAAACGCGACCGCAGACGUGCUGCAAGUCAGUCAGGCGUGCGUCGGGGAGCUGAGCAGGCAGGCGGGGCUGUCGUGGGCUCGGCUAAGCUCCUCUGACGAGUGUGAGAUACCGGACACUCCACAACAGCAGCUCCAGUGCAAGAACUCUGCCGGUGCCGUACCUGCAAGCACGCACGAGAGCGUGCCCGCCGCCGCCGCUGCACCGCGCUGGUCCACCUCACACGGGGAGGAGUUCACCAUCGACUCGGUCGCCUUCCGCUUCGCUUGCGUAGCAGCACGUAGUGGCGGCGGCGAUGUAACUGCAAAUGCUGGUGCGAGCCUGGAGGACUUCGAUGACGACAAGACGGCGGCCACUGGGGCGGCCCCUGGAGCGGACUUCCAGCAGUUUUACCUGAACCUGCUACCCGAGCUGCAGCCAGCGCAGCAACAUGUGUCGUUAUUCCUUCCCCAGUCGCAAGUGUCAGAGUGGAAGGAGUAUCUGCGAUGUGCGCUCAUGGAGUGGGGCCUUAGCUUGCAGCGGCAUGCUUGGGAGAGCUGGCGGCUGUACACGGCAGCUUUUCAGGACGAUGUACAGCACCGCGUGGCAGAGGUGCUGCGAUACCAUCACCGGCGUCCCGCGACGUUGCAGGCGACCGUCUACGAAGCCCGCGUGCGCGAGUUGACAGAUGCAAAGAACAGGGGGGACAAGAUGCUCUCGCGGAUAGCGGAACGCGUGUCGCGGGUGCAGACGCUCAAGCACACAUUUCUCACCCAGACAUCACACAACGACUCGGACCAGGCGCUCAUUCGCGAGCGCGCCGCCCUGCUCGUGAAAGUGCGUGACGCUAUGUCGACAAACGCCGUAAGAGCGCUGGUGAGCCGGCACGACGCCCUCUGCGCCGAGUACUGCACAGCGCUGGCAGACCGCUGCGCUGAGGCGGUGCACAAUCUCAAAAGGGCCCGGGGAGUCAUCGAGGAUGACUGCGCGCAGCUGCUGCACGAUCGAGCAGUGGAGCUGCGCGGCGGCGACACAGCGGCUCAGCUGCCGGUGGACGACCCGGUCCAAAUGCGCGUCGACCACCUGCGCUCAGAGGUGCAGGAAACACUCACGCAGUCGCUCAAAGCCGUUGAGGAUCAGCAACAGACACGCGCUGCUGAGGUCGAUAACUGGAAGGCAGCAUGGGCUAGCACGGUGGAGCACAGCAGUGCGGAGCUGAGCGUGUUCCAGACCGUGCAGGAGGGGUUGGCUCGACUGAAGGCACAGGUGCAGACGUUGCUCACGACAGCGGCGGCCGAAGAGGCAGAGCUUGCGGCAGGGGUAGCGAUGGUGGUGAGGGAGGUGGACGAGGCCUCCGCCGCACCAGUGAUGGACUUGGCGGCCGCUAUACAUGCACUGUUCAAAGAGAGCCCCCCAGCAACCUCACCGGCGGGUGAUGGUGGUGGCGACACACCGCUGACAACAGAGGAUCUGAAAAACAUGGUGGAGUACAACCUCAAGGUGACGAAGGCGAUGCAGCAGGACCGCAUCCGGGCGGCGUCUGCAUGCACCGUGCUCGCCUCUCUGGACAAGCUCCGUGGGCUCUUGUACGCGCGUGGGUGCCGCUUGGGGCUGCUGGCGCACACAGUUGAGAUGUUGCGGGUGUCGCCGCUGCACUACGUGCUGCCCAUGGAGCUUGGGGAGGAGGAGCCCGAGGCGGUGCGCGGCCGCGCCGGCAGUCGCAGCGUCUCUUCGAAGGCGGGGCGUCGCGCCAAAGACGUCCAGGGCGCUCCCACCGCUGGGCACACCGCCAUGCCCCUCUCCACGCCUGCGACGUACGCUGAGCAGGUGGCGCAGUGGACGGCGCAAGUGCUGAGGGACGCAGAGGCUGCGGCACAGCGCCAUGUCAAAGCCUUUCCGGGCAACAUGUACCGCCGACUGCCUGGAAUGACCGGCGGCACGGUGGAGCAGCUCAACGCCGCCGUCGCGGCACUGUGCGUUGCACAGGAGGAGCGGGUCAAGUCGUACACGGCCAAGGCAGGCCAACCCUUUCGACAGCGUGUGCAGGAGCUGUGGAACACGCUGCAGAGCACGCCAUCUCUCCUUGUGGGCACCUUGAGCGCAGGGGCGACGACCGCUAUCCUUGAGCGUGUCGAGGCUGUGCUGCGGCCGUGGUGGCGUUUUCAGGCGCAGAGUAGCGAGCAGUGGCGUGCGCACCGACGGGCAGUCAAGCUCUCCUUAGCCCGUCAGCCCAACGCCACGGCCCUCACGUCGCUGACAGAAGCAGAGGCAGCUCGCAGCGACACGACGGAGUUGGCCCUGCAGCAAGCGUGGGCCUGGAGCCUGCGAGAGGUGGAAGAUGAAGUCGGGCUGCAUGUGGCGCGCUGCUGGACAGCUCUGCACUCCUACUCGCACCUUCUCAAGGGAUUGGUCACCCCGCAGCACCUCGUCCCCACGACGGAGGCGCUGGAAGGCGGCCACCAUCGAGGACUACGGCACCUCCUGGAGCUGCGCGCGCAACACGAGCGAGCGGCCGCAGAGUUGGAGGGGACAGCCGGCGCGAAGAAGGACCCACGGCUACAGGAGGUGAUUCCGCUGCACCGCGCCGACACCCCUGGUAACAACCCAUCUGCGGCCAGUAAGCGGCACGCCAACGCAUCUGUGGCAGCAGCAGCGGCGGCGGCGACGAUGGAGAGUGCGCCGCUUGCGCAGCUUUCGCAGUGGAGCGAUGUGGAGCUACCCGGACUGCCGCUGAACACGUGUGUCCCCCUCUCGCAAUACAACGCGCAGCACCCCCAAACUGCCGUACCCCCACCUCUGGCGGCAGCGGCGUAUGUACCAGCUGCUGUCCGCCUCACCACCGACGGCAAGGGGCCUCAAGGCCACGGCAACCGGCGCAUCUCUGCAGCGACGUCUUCCGCAUCUUCAAACACGAGUGGCCGCAAAGGGCAUGCAUCGAUAGCGAUGGACGCAAAGGCCACCGCCGAGGUCUCUGUUCCGCUUCUCGUACCGCGGGCUCCACUCGUGCUGGAGUGCGCGCAGCUGCUCCGCGCCGCGGUGCAGUCGGUGAGUUCGCAGGGCAACGAAGCCGCUGGUGUCCUCAGCAACGCAUUCGGCUUCUACGAGCGGCAGGAAGCACAGUGGCGGCAGACAUGGGUGCUGACCCUGAAGGACAUGACAACGAUGUAGGAGGCAAGCACAGCGAGAAAGCACGGAUGUGGUCGCCGGCGUGCACCGCCUUGCUCUGCUCAUCUCUACUCGGUCCGACCCUUCCGAUUUUACGAAGGCCCUCCUCAAGGUUGUCGCCUCACAUGUGCUGGAUGUACAGAUACCACGGCGAAUCGCUACUACUAGCAUGUGCUAGCAGAGAGACGCACACAAGCGCGCACGCAUCUGUGAUGUCUCACGCGCGUGUGCGUGUGUGGUGCAUCCGAAUCUCCUUCCUUUGCCCAUUUCGCUUUACCGAUGCGUGCACAUGUUUUCGAUGUAAAGUACCACGUGUGUAAGCGAGAGAAGGGCAGCAACGAUACUGCUUCGUCUUCCAGAUCUAUCCUAUCCAUGG
rnacentral:misc_RNA from 1 species